ACCCGCUGAACUUAAGCAUGAUGCACUAAGGGCAGGAUAAGAAAACAACUGUGAUUCUCAUAGUAACUGCGAGUGAAGUGAGAAGAGCCCAACGUUAAAAGCUAUAUCUCUAACGGGAUAUCGCAUUGUAACGUAUAGAUGUGUUCUCAAGGUGAAAGCUUACGUCAAAGUUACAUAGAGCGGUACGCCAAAGAGGGUGAGAGCCCCGUAUGAGACGUAAGCAUUAAUUUUGCCAAGUAAACACAAUCUAAGAGUCGUGUUGUUUGGGAUUGCAACACUAAGUAGGUGGUAAACUUCACCUAAGGCUAAAUACAUACACGAGACCGAUAGCAAACAAGUACCGUGAGGGAAAGUUGAAAAGUACUCUGAAAAGACUGUGAAAAGCACGUGAAACUGUUCAUGGGGAAGCAGACGGUAGAAUCGAAGCAUGCUGUUGAUUGCUCUGAUGUUGCGAGUUCAACUCGUACACAUUGGGGUAUCUCAAUAGUGUAGCGCGCUGAGCUUGUCGUGUUUUACGUCCUGCACGUAGUAAAUGUACGCCGAUGGUUUUAGUGCAGUAAUCGAGGUGUUGAAUGAUCAACAUCAGACUUUGCUGUAUAUUUCCACUCGCUAUAGGUACAUAACAUGGCAAUGGCCAAUAUGAAAGGCGAUCUGUGGAAGUGAUUGAGUGGUAUUUAUGCUGGUACGUUGUUAAACUACUUACGUGUAUUUACUGCUUGAUUGCCAAAUAGAUCUACUCUCAGCGAGAUAUGCUGCUGUCUGACCCGUCUUGAAACACGGACCAAGGAGGCUAACGUAUACGCGAGUCAAAGGGAUACGCUUCGGCGUUGUAUUUGAAACCCUAUGGCGUAACGAAAGUAAAAAGCGUCAUCUCCACAUGAGAUGAUUAAUGGUGGAGAGCAUCGCUGGCCAGUCGAGUUCGUUGGGACUAUGAUUGAGCAGGAGCGUAUGCGAUAGGACCCGAAAGAUGGUGAACUAUGCCUGAGUAGGGCAAAGUCAGGGGAAACUCUGAUGGAGGCUCGAAGCGGUUCUGACGUGCAAUUCGAUCGUCAAACUUGGGUAUAGGGGCGAAAGACUAAUCGAACCAUCUAGUAGCUGGUUCCCUCCGAAAUAUCCCUCAGGAUAGCUGGAGCCUGAACCAAAAGCAGUUUCAUCGGGUAGAGCGAAUGAUUAAAGGUAUUGGAGUCAUAACAGACUCUAACCUCUUCUCAAACUGCGAACCGGUGAUAAAAGUGGCGUUGCUUGAUUGAACGCUAACUUUAGAAUGCUAGGGCUCCAAGUGGGCCGUUUCUGGUAAGCAGAACUGGCGAUGCGGGAUGAACCGAGAGCCAGGUUAAGGUGCCUAAAUAAACGCCAAAGGACACCACUAAAGGAGUCGGUCGAUGAAGACAGCAGGACGGUGGCCCUGAAAGUAGGAAUCCGCUAAGGAGUGUCUAACAACUCACCUGCCGAAUCGACUGGCCCUGAAGAUGGAUGGCGCUAAAGCGUUUUACCGAUACCUGGCCAUCAGCAUUAGUUAUGAGUGAGAAAUGCUGAUGGGUAGGAGGGCGCAAUGAUAGCGGCGAAGAGUUUAGCGUAAGCUUGCUUGGAGCUGUCAUUGGUGCGGAUCUUGGUGGUAGUAGCAGUUUAUUCAAGUGAAACGCUUGAAGGCCGAAGUGGAGAAGGGUUCCGCGUAAACAUCAUUUGAACGCGGGUUAGUCGGUCCUAAGUGGCAGCUUACGUGCUGAUGUAUUCAAAGGGGAAGUGUAGUAUGUGUCAGCUGGCAUGUAACAGUGUUAGUUUGAUGCAUAUUGCUCUCUCAUGCCACGAAAGGGAAUCAGGUUAAUAAUCCUGAACCAGGUCACGGAUAGUUUGCAUAAUGAGUUUAGGGAUUCAUGCACAGUGGUGACAUUGUGUGGUGGCCUUAUUCAUGUUGUGCAGAUGCAGCGGUAACGCAAACGAACUCAGAGACAUCUUAGGCAGUCCUAGGAAGAGUUAUCUUUUCUGUUUAACGAAAUGACGCCCUGGAAUUGAGUUGCUCAGAGAUAGGGCUGAGAUUUCGGAAGAGCAUCGCACUUUUGGCGAUGUCUGGUGCGCUGUCUAAGGUCCUUGAAAAUCUGAGGGAGUGAAUGAUUUUCGUGCCUGGCCGUACCGUAAUCCGCAACAGGUCUCCAAGGUGAAUAGCCUCUGGCACUAGAACAAUGUGGGUAAGGGAAGUCGGCAAAAUAGAUUCGUAACUUCGGGAUAAGGAUUGGCUCUAAGGGUUGGGCUGGUCGGGCUAUUCACUUAGUUCUAUGUGUGUCCAUCUUUGAGUUUGCUUAACUUGGAUGUAUAUUGUGCUGGCAACGGUGCAGUGUUAUUCAGGCAGGCUGAAUUUGGAGAUAGAUGUGCGAGGUUAAGUGUUUAGCUUGGUGUAGUUUGCUAUGUUACUCGCGUAAUGUAGUCCGCUGCAUCCUUGCGGCUAGCUAAGAUCAACCAACUUAGAACUGUCACUGACUAGGGGAAUCCGACUGUUUAAUAA
rnacentral:rRNA from 1 species